rnacentral:tRNA from 3 species
GCCCGCGUGGUGGAAUGGUAGACACAGAGGACUUAAAAUCCUCAGGCUUUAGCCGUGCGAGUUCGAGUCUCGCCGCGGGCACCA